rnacentral:miRNA from 1 species
GUAUGUGUGUGUGUGUGUGUGUGUGUGUGUGUGUAUGUAUGUGUAUGUGUACAUACAUACACACACACACACACACACACACACAC